rnacentral:rRNA from 1 species
CCUACGGGAGGCAGCAGUGGGGAAUAUUGGGCAAUGGGCGCAAGCCUGACCCAGCAACGCCGCGUGAAGGAAGACGGCUUUCGGGUUGUAAACUUCUUUUAAGAGGGAAGAGCAGACCACGGUCCCUCUUGUAUAAGCCACGGCUAACUACGUGCCAGCAGCCGCGGUAAUACGUAGGUGGCAAGCGUUGUCCGGAUUUACUGGGUGUAAAGGGCGUGUAGCCGGGCUGACAAGUCAGAUGUGAAAUUCCGGGGCUCAACCCCGGAACUGCAUUUGAAACUGUUGGUCUUGAGUAUCGGAGAGGCAGGCGGAAUUCCUAGUGUAGCGGUGAAAUGCGUAGAUAUGAGGAGGAACACCAGUGGCGAAGGCGGCCUGCUGGACGACAACUGACGGUGAGGCGCGAAAGCGUGGGGAGCAAACAGGAUUAGAUACCCGUGUAGUC